rnacentral:rRNA from 1 species
GACGAACGCUGGCGGCGUGCUUAACACAUGCAAGCCGAACGCUGAAGCUCAGCUUUUGUUGGGUGGAUGAGUGGCGAACGGGUGAGUAACACGUGAGUAACCUGCCCUCUUCUUUGGGAUAACGCCCGGAAACGGGUGCUAAUACUGGAUAUUCACUGAUCUUCGCAUGGGGGUUGGUGGAAAGGUUUGUUCUGGUGGGGGAUGGGCUCGCGGCCUAUCAGCUUGUUGGUGGGGUGAUGGCCUACCAAGACUUUGACGGGUAGCCGGCCUGAGAGGGUGACCGGUCACAUUGGGACUGAGAUACGGCCCAGACUCCUACGGGAGGCAGCAGUGGGGAAUAUUGCACAAUGGGCGAAAGCCUGAUGCAGCGACGCCGCGUGAGGGAUGGAGGCCUUCGGGUUGUAAACCUCUUUCGCUCAUGGUCAAGCCGCGACUUUGGUUGUGGUGAGGGUAGUGGGUAAAGAAGCGCCGGCUAACUACGUGCCAGCAGCCGCGGUAAUACGUAGGGCGCGAGCGUUGUCCGGAAUUAUUGGGCGUAAAGGGCUUGUAGGCGGUUGGUCGCGUCUGCCGUGAAAUUCUCUGGCUUAACUGGGGGCGUGCGGUGGGGUACGGGCUGACUUGAGUGCGGUAGGGGAGACUGGAACUCCCUGGUGUAGCGGUGGGAAUGCCCACAUAUCACGAAGAACACCGGUGGGCGAAGGCGGGUCUCUUGGGCCCGUUACUGACGCCUGAGGAGCGAAAACGUGGGAGCUAACAUGAUUAAAUACCCCUAGUAGUCCAAGGGCGAAUUUCGCUGUGUAUAUCAGCUUAUCGAUACGGGCCACCCCCAGAAGAAACUCAAAUUACAAUUAUUUGUUUCAUUAUGAGGUUUAUA